CCUACGGGAGGCAGCAGUGAGGAAUAUUGGUCAAUGGGCGGGAGCCUGAACCAGCCAAGCCGCGUGAGGGAUGAAGGUACAGAGUAUCGUAAACCUCUUUUGUCAGGGAACAAAGGCGGGGACGUGUCCCCGGAUGAGUGUACCUGAAGAAAAAGCAUCGGCUAACUCCGUGCCAGCAGCCGCGGUAAUACGGAGGAUGCGAGCGUUAUCCGGAUUUAUUGGGUUUAAGGGGUGCGCAGGCGGUCUGUUAAGUCAGCGGUCAAAGCCCGGGGCUCAACCCCGGCCCGCCGUUGAAACUGGCAGUCUCGAGUUGGAGAGAAGUAUGCGGAAUGCGCGGUGUAGCGGUGAAAUGCAUAGAUAUCGCGCAGAACUCCGAUUGCGAAGGCAGCAUGCCGGCUCCACACUGACGCUGAGGCACGAAAGCGUGGGUAUCGAACAGGAUUAGAUACCCUUGUAGUC
rnacentral:rRNA from 1 species